rnacentral:rRNA from 1 species
CCUACGUGAGGCAGCAGUGAGGAAUAUUGGUCAAUGGGCGCGAGCCUGAACCAGCCAAGUCGCGUGAGGGCAGACGGUCCUAUGGAUUGUAAACCUCUUUUGUCGGGGAGCAAAAGACGCCACGCGUGGCGUUCCGAGAGUACCCGAAGAAAAAGCAUCGGCUAACUCCGUGCCAGCAGCCGCGGUAAUACGGAGGAUGCGAGCGUUAUCCGGAUUUAUUGGGUUUAAAGGGUGCGCAGGCGGAAGAUCAAGUCAGUGGUAAAAUUGAGAGGCUCAACCUCGUCGAGCCGUUGAAACUGGUUUUCUUGAGUGAGUGAGAAGUAUGCGGAAUGCGUGGUGUAGCGGUGAAAUGCAUAGAUAUCACGCAGAACUCCGAUUGCGAAGGCAGCAUACCGGCGCUCAACUGACGCUCAUGCACGAAAGUGUGGGUAUCGAACAGGAUUAGAUACCCUUGUAGUC